UACAGAGGGGGCAAGCGUUGUUCGGAAUUACUGGGCGUAAAGGGCGCGUAGGCGGCCUGCUGAGUCGAACGUGAAAUCCCCGGGCUCAACCCGGGAACUGCGUCCGAUACUGGCAGGCUUGAAUCCGGGAGAGGGAUGUGGAAUUCCAGGUGUAGCGGUGAAAUGCGUAGAUAUCUGGAGGAACACCGGUGGCGAAGGCGGCAUCCUGGACCGGUAUUGACGCUGAUGCGCGAAAGCCAGGGGAGCAAACGGG
rnacentral:rRNA from 1 species